GGGGAAAAGUGUGGCAUCUUCAGUUUACAUCAACUUGCUCUCAUCUGAGACAAAACUAUGCUGGUGAGUCCUUCCUCAGAAAUCCGGUCCUUGCACUGCCUGGGAAUACAAACAGAUGCUCUGUGGCACUUCAUUAUUGGAUUGCGAGCACAUUGAUGUUUCAUAAAGGGCAUUGUAGAGUAAUGUUUGCCAUGCUCCAUGCCAAUUGCGGGCUGAGAUUGCUACAGCAUCAUGGAACAGAUGGAAGUUAAAGUCGUAGCUAAGCUCCAGUCUCCAUUUCUUUUGAUGAAGAGCUCCAAAGAUAGCUUUAAGUGAACUUUCAAAGCCCUCAGUGAGGCCAGAAAUCACUAGAAAUCUCAUUUAAACUUUCCCUCCUCGUUCUCAAGCAAAUUUACAACAGCGGCCAGUACUUUUGCAAGAUCGCUGGAGAGAAUUCAUCAUCAGAAUAGAGAUUGCAAGACCAUCACGAUGACUUCACGUCAGUGCCAGCAUAUGCAGCCGUGGAAUACAGUGAGCGCUCUCUGCGGCUGACAGCAAUAGCGGUGAUCUAAUUUACCCGGCGACUGGAAGAAACUCUUUGUACAGGCUCUGGGUCCCUUUGGAUUAGUGACUUCAAGGUCAACUGGAGGAGAAAGGAAGCAGGGCUGAGGGUCACCCUCUCCUGUCUCAUUUGCAUGCUCUUGAAUAUAUGAUUUUAAGAAACAUGCGUUUUUGAUCUGCAAUGUAAAAAUUCCUCAAUGAUUUUUUGUACAGAUGUGCAGAAUACAGGAAUGAAAUAAAAUAUUGAGAAUUUGUG
rnacentral:lncRNA from 1 species